GUGCAUGCUAUGCCCCUAAUCGACUUUUGGUGUUAAUGACAACACAUACAUAGGAAACUAAUCCUAUUUGUUGAGUGUAUCUCAGGAUGGCAAGUACUUUAGUAGAUUGAGAAUUAUGUGUCAAAGGUGGUCUGAGAAGAUCGUGAUUUAUAUGUCAAGAAGGAUCGGGAUGGAGAAAAGAUGAUGUAGACUAUCCUUUUGAGUUUACUAUUCUUGAGUAUAGGGAUCCCGCACUAUUAAGAGGGGAUCACAG
rnacentral:lncRNA from 1 species